AACACAAAUGAUUAAUAAUUUACACAGCCCGUACAUCGGUUUGAAAAUUUUAUUUAUCGGCAUGAUGUUAUCAGUGUUCAAAAUUCUACUUACUCACUGGAAUAUAAGUAUGUACAACAUGAUCAAAUUUAAAAUCAAAAUAAUGGCUCAAUAACUGGUGCUUAAACGAAAUUUGUUUUUAAUUUUUUUACCUUUUGUUCGUGUCUACGAAAUUGAGUUUGACAGCUUAUGUGUGUGAAGUGAAAGUAAACAAGAAGAAGCAAAAAGUGCUUAUUUCAAACGUACCGUUUUCAACGAUUUUCGCUUUGCUGUUUGAAAUGAAACCGUCAAAAAGUGAUACGUGUAGUGUGUGGAUGUUUUCAGCUACGCAGCCGAAGGAAGCGGUUUAGAAGUAAAAGGCAAAAGGUAUUCGAGGUUGAGACCAUUCUGAUAGUUGAAGCAGAUUAGGCCUUCGGAUUUGGCGUAUAUUCGACUUGUCUACAGUCAUUCUCUCCAAGUGCCGAGCCGAAUACAAUGAAAAAUUGCACUAGAGGUAGGCUCGUUGCUUGGGCAUUUUUAUGUACAUGCUAGGCCAGUCAAGAAAAAAGCAAAUAUGUGUUAGCUGUUUUGAAUCAUUUAUUGAGAUUUGAGUCAGAAGUGGGUUAAAUCUACUGAAAAUCAGCUAUAUAUAAAGUAGUAUAUAAAUAUUACGAACUAAUAACAUCAUAUUUUAGGACAUCUGGCACUGUGGAACAUUUUAUAUUCAUGAGUUCGUU